AGGGCUACAAAACAUACAGCAGAAAAGAUGGCUUGAAGGCAAUUGAUGUUUGUAAAUAAAUCCACAACAGGAUCCAAGCUGAAGAGGUGAACACAUCAGCCGGGUGGGACAAUUCUCAGCAUGUACAAACAUAGGCAAAUUCUAGCCUAUGUUACAUUGAAAACAAUGUCAGUGCAUUUUUUUCAUGUUAAAGAUGUUUUCAAAGCUAAA
rnacentral:lncRNA from 1 species